GGAGAAGUGUCCGAGCGGUUUAAGGAGGCGGUCUUGAAAACCGUUGACGUGCAAGCGUCCGUGGGUUCGAAUCCCACCUUCUCCG
rnacentral:tRNA from 3 species